rnacentral:misc_RNA from 1 species
AUGGUGAAAAAUGAUCUAUAUAGUCGAUGCCGACUAGUUUGUGAUUAAGACUUAGUUGUUGUUAUGAUUGCAUUGUUCUAUCACCUCCAUUUCUCAAUUAUUAUAUCAAGUCAACACUCAACACCGAUUGAAAAGUUCAAAAACUUAACCUCUCUAAAAGAGCAAUCAUCAGCAGACCAUUUUUCACUCUAUAGAUUGUAUUCAUUGUUUCCUUACUGUAGUUAGUGUUAGCAAAAACUAACAGAUAAAAGUGCUAAGUGCAUUAGACAAUCCAAAGGGCAUCACUAACCUGUCAUACAAUCAUUCCUAGGUUUUAAAAGCAAUUUUCUAUUCAUCACCUAGCUUAAUGCGUAUUUAAUGAUACCUACUAUGCAAGUCAACUUUAGAGAGCCAACAAGAACCUAUAAGGAAAUCUAACCUAUUAAGUCUAGGAAUUGGAAAUCUAUACUUAACAGUGAUCAUGUUAAUGGCCCUACUAUCCACACACAUUCUCCAAGAGCCAUCUUUCUUAGGUGUCAACAUUGCAAGCACAACACAUGGACUAAGGCUAAGUCUCACAAACCCCUUUAUUCAACUUGCCUAUUCUACUUAGCUUGCUCCUUACGAUUCAUCCUAUAAUGAGGAAGACUAUGUAACUAUGAGAACAAAUAGUCACCCUAGA